GACGAACGCUGGCGGCGUGCUUAACACAUGCCAGUCGAACGGAAAGGCCCUGCUUUUGUGGGGUGCUCGAGUGGCGAACGGGUGAGUAACACGUGAGUAACCUGCCCCUGACUUUGGGAUAACUUCAGGAAACUGGGGCUAAUACCGGAUAGGAGCUCCUGCUGCAUGGUGGGGGUUGGAAAGUUUCGGCGGUGGGGGAUGGACUCGCGGCUUAUCAGCUUGUUGGUGGGGUAGUGGCUUACCAAGGCUUUGACGGGUAGCCGGCCUGAGAGGGUGACCGGCCACAUUGGGACUGAGAUACGGCCCAGACUCCUACGGGAGGCAGCAGUGGGGAAUAUUGCACAAUGGGCGGAAGCCUGAUGCAGCAACGCCGCGUGCGGGAUGACGGCCUUCGGGUUGUAAACCGCUUUCGCCUGUGACGAAGCGUGAGUGACGGUAAUGGGUAAAGAAGCACCGGCUAACUACGUG
rnacentral:rRNA from 1 species